ACAAUUUUUUUUUCCUAUGCGUAACCUUUCUGUUAUCUAUUUUGCUCCGUUUUAUAAAAUGGUAGCACUUUUUUUUUUUGAAAGAAAAUCUGACUGAGGUGGUACUUUAGGGAGGUCAUAUUUUGAUUUUUCCAGAAAUUUCCCAAUAAAUGGGAAAUCCCCGAAAAAAAUUGGGAAGAAACGGAAAUAUUGAAUAUUUCCAGCAUAAAGAGAGAUGCGUAUUCAUCGCCCAAUGCAUUUUGUAUAAACC